rnacentral:rRNA from 1 species
GACGAACGCUGGCGGCGUGCUUAACACAUGCAAGUCGAACGGAAAGGCCCUGCUUGCAGGGUACUCGAGUGGCGAACGGGUGAGUAACACGUGGGUGAUCUGCCCUGCACUUCGGGAUAAGCCUGGGAAACUGGGUCUAAUACCGGAUAGGAGCCAUUCUUAGUGUGAUGGUUGGAAAGUUUUUUCGGUGUAGGAUGAGCUCGCGGCCUAUCAGCUUGUUGGUGGGGUAAUGGCCUACCAAGGCGGCGACGGGUAGCCGGCCUGAGAGGGUGGACGGCCACAUUGGGACUGAGAUACGGCCCAGACUCCUACGGGAGGCAGCAGUGGGGAAUAUUGCACAAUGGGCGCAAGCCUGAUGCAGCGACGCCGCGUGGGGGAGGACGGCCUUCGGGUUGGAAACUCCUUUCGCUAGGGACGAAGCUUUUUGUGACGGUACCUAGAUAAGAAGCACCGGCUAACUACGUG